AUUGAACGCUGGCGGCAUGCCUUACACAUGCAAGUCGAACGGUAACGGGCCUUCGGGUGCCGACGAGUGGCGCACGGGGGAGUAAUACAUCGGAACGUGCCCGAUCGUGGGGGAUAACGAGGCGAAAGCUUUGCUAAUACCGCAUACGAUCUACGGAUGAAAGCAGGGGACCGCAAGGCCUUGCGCGGACGGAGCGGCCGAUGGCAGAUUAGUUAGUUGGUGGGAUAAAAGCUUACCAAGCCGACGAUCUGUAGCUGGUCUGAGAGGAUGAUCAGCCACACUGGGACUGAGACACGGCCCAGACUCCUACGGGAGGCAGCAGUGGGGAAUUUUGGACAAUGGGCGCAAGCCUGAUCCAGCAAUGCCGCGUGAAGGAUGAAGGCCUUCGGGUUGUAAACUGCUUUUGUACGGAAAGAAAAGCCUUCUUUUAAUACAGGAGGGUCAUGACGGUACCGUAAGAAUAAGCACCGGCUAACUACGUG
rnacentral:rRNA from 1 species